UUGUUGCACCAGAAGUAGCUAGCCUAACUGCAAAGAGGGCGGUUACCACGGUGUGGCCGAUGACUGGGGUGAAGUCGUAACAAGGUAGCCGUAGGGGAACCUGCGGCUGGAUCACCUCCUUAA
rnacentral:rRNA from 1 species